rnacentral:rRNA from 1 species
GACGAACGCUGGCGGCGUGCCUAAUACAUGCAAGUUGAGCGCUGAAGGUUGGUACUUGUACCAACUGGAUGAGCAGCGAACGGGUGAGUAACGCGUGGGGAAUCUGCCUUUGAGCGGGGGACAACAUUUGGAAACGAAUGCUAAUACCGCAUAAAAACUUUAAACACAAGUUUUAAGUUUGAAAGAUGCAAUUGCAUCACUCAAAGAUGAUCCCGCGUUGUAUUAGCUAGUUGGUGAGGUAAAGGCUCACCAAGGCGAUGAUACAUAGCCGACCUGAGAGGGUGAUCGGCCACAUUGGGACUGAGACACGGCCCAAACUCCUACGGGAGGCAGCAGUAGGGGAUCUUCGGCAAUGGACGAAAGUCUGACCGAGCAACGCCGCGUGAGGGAAGAAGGGUUUCGGAUCGGAAAACUCUGUUGGUAGGGAAGAACGGUGGUGAGGGUGGAAAGCUCAUCAAGUGACGGUAACUACCCAGAAAGGGACGGCUAACUACGUG